GAACGCUGGCGGCGUGCUUAACACAUGCAAGUCGAGCGGAAAGGCCCUUCGGGGUACUCGAGCGGCGAACGGGUGAGUAACACGUGAGUAACCUGCCCUAGGCUUUGGGAUAACCCUCGGAAACGGGGGCUAAUACCGGAUAUUCAUACUUGGCGGCAUCGUUGGGUGUGGAAAGUUUUUCGGCUUGGGAUGGGCUCGCGGCCUAUCAGCUUGUUGGUGGGGUGAUGGCCUACCAAGGCGACGACGGGUAGCCGGCCUGAGAGGGCGACCGGCCACACUGGGACUGAGACACGGCCCAGACUCCUACGGGAGGCAGCAGUGGGGAAUAUUGCACAAUGGGCGGAAGCCUGAUGCAGCGACGCCGCGUGAGNGAUGAAGGCCUUCGGGUUGUAAACCUCUUUCGACAGGGACGAAGCGUGAGUGACGGUACCUGGAGAAGAAGCGCCGGCCAACUACGUGCCAGCAGCCGCGGUAAGACGUAGGGCGCGAGCGUUGUCCGGAUUUAUUGGGCGUAAAGAGCUCGUAGGCGG
rnacentral:rRNA from 1 species